CAGCGUGGGCGCAGCAGUGGGGAAUUUUGGACAAUGGGGGAAACCCUGAUCCAGCCAUCCCGCGUGCGAUGAAGGCUCUCUGCCACAAAGCACUUUGGCAGGAAGGAAUGGCACGGAUAAUACCCUGCGCAACUGACGGUACCUGCAGAAUAAGCACCGGCUAACUACGUGCCAGCAGCCGCGGUAAUACGUAGGGUGCAAGCGUUAAUCGGAAUUACCAUGUAGCGUGCGCAGGCGGUUCGGAAAGAAAGAUGUGAAAUCCCAGAGCUUAACUUCUUGGAACUGCAUUUUUAACUACCGAGCUAGAGUGUGUCAGAGGGAGGUGAAUUCGCGUGUAGCAGUGAAUGCGGAUAAAGGUGGAGGAACACUGAUGGCGAAGGCAGCCUCCUGGGAUAACACUGACGCUCAUGCACGAAAGCGUGGGGAGCAAACAGGAUUAGAUACCCGCAGU
rnacentral:misc_RNA from 1 species